rnacentral:pre_miRNA from 1 species
UCAGUUGUGCAAAAGUGCUUACAGUGCAGGUAGCAUUUUGGGAUCUACUGCAGUGGUAGCACUUCUAGCAUUACAAU